CCAGCGGCCCUCGGAACGGCUGAGCAACGACACGGCGGCGGCGGCAGCGGCGGCGCCUAACCGCUUCGCCCACUCGAGCCGGACGCGAGGAGCACGGGGAAGCUCCUCCUCCGUCACCGGGAAACAGAAGAUCCGCCGCCCUGGUCCCUGCUUUCCCCCGUGCCCGUGGUGGGUGGGCGAGCAACAGGGCAGAAAUGAGUAAGAAAUCUGGAUAUGCUGCCGGAUAUGCUUCCAGAUCAGGAUAAUGCUUUCGAGAGAUAAGACCGGGAAAAUGACAAAGCAGAUAUCACACUACAUUUAGCCUCACCGACGAUCUAUUCUGCACCAACACAAGAAGUAGAGGAAAUAGUCCAUCCCUAAAACCAAAGCGAGAUGACGGAAAAGGGCAAACGAAUGCUGGCUGCGCAAAGUAUUACAAAUUGCCGACAGAUGCUACGGUGCUUACAUGUUACUCCGUCUAUUCAAGAACAUACAUAGUUUUUGACAAGACAUGAUCAACUGUAAUGUUAAUAUUUUUCAUAUGAUCCAAAUAUCUUUAUGCGUA